rnacentral:rRNA from 1 species
UACGAAGGGGGCUAGCGUUGUUCGGAAUUACUGGGCGUAAAGCGCAUGCAGGCGGAUCGCUAAGUCAGGGGUGAAAGCCCGAGGCUCAACCUCGGAACUGCCUUUGAUACUGGCGAUCUUGAGUCCGGGAGAGGUGAGUGGAACUCCGAGUGUAGAGGUGAAAUUCGUAGAUAUUCGGAAGAACACCAGUGGCGAAGGCGGACUCACUGGCCCGGUACUGACGCUGAGAUGCGAAAGCG